rnacentral:rRNA from 1 species
GACGAACGCUGGCGGCGUGCUUAACACAUGCAAGUCGAACGGAAAGGCCUGCUUUCCCUUGUGGAUUGCGGGUACUCGAGUGGCGAACGGGUGAGUAACACGUGAGUGAUCUGCCCCCAACUUGGGUAUAAGCCUGGGAAACUGGGUCUAAUUCCCGAUAGGACUGCAGGGUGGUGCCUGUGGUGGAAAACGAUUUUCUAGUGGUUGGGGAUGAGCUCGCGGCCCAUCAGCUUGUUGGUGGGGUAAUGGCCUACCAAGGCGGCGACGGGUAGCCGGCCUGAGAGGGUGGACGGCCACAUUGGGACUGAGAUACGGCCCAGACUCCUAAGGGAGGCAGCAGUGGGGAAUAUUGCACAAUGGGCGGAAGCCUGAUGCAGCGACGCCGCGUGGGGGAUGACGGCCUUCGGGUUGUAAACUCCUUUCGACCGCGAGGAAGCCACCUGGUUGGAAGGGUGGUGACGGUAGUGGUAGAAGAAGCACCGGCUAACUACGUG